rnacentral:misc_RNA from 1 species
AUCAAAUAAUAUCUCAUCAGGUGGAGGCAUGCUUUCCAGCUAUGAGAAUCCCAAGGAUGCACAGCCUGAACUAUCAUCCUCAAUGGUCUCCCAAUCAUUUGGAGUUCCUGAUAUGGCCUUCAAUUCAAUUGAUUCUACCAUAAAUGAAGGCAGCUUCAUGAAUAGAGGUGCCUGGGCCCCACCACCUCAAAUGCCUCGAAUGCGGACGUUUACCAAGGUACACAAGCGUGGUGCUGUUGGAAGAUCAAUCGACAUCGCACGUUACUCAGGCUAUGAAGAGCUUAAACAAGAUUUAGCUCGUAGAUUUGGUAUAGAGGGACAACUGGAGGAUAGACAAAGAAUAGGAUGGAAGCUUGUAUAUGUGGAUCAUGAGAAUGACGUACUGCUUGUUGGCGAUGAUCCUUGGGAGGAAUUCGUGAACUGUGUCCGUUGCAUCAAGAUUCUUUCUCCACAAGAGGUCCA